AAUGUCGUAACAAGGUUUCCGUAGGUGAACCUGCGGAAGGAUCAUUACCGAGUUCUGGGUCCUUCGGGGCCCGUCCUCCAACCCUUUGUAUAUCUACCUUGUUGCUUUGGCGGGCCAGCGGGUCGAAAGGCUCGCGUCCGGCACCCCUCGCGGGGGCUGGAAAGCGUCCGCCGGAGGAAUUCAAACUCUUGUUUGUAACAAUGCAGUCUGAUCUAAUAUUUAAUAUUAUAAAA
rnacentral:misc_RNA from 1 species